UGUCAAGUCAAGUUGAUGUUAGUAAUUCUUAUAUCGGCUUCUCUUAUCAUUUAAUACGUCAUGGACUGAUGAAAGAAAUGGAAUGGAAGUGGAGACGCUUGAAGCAAUCCUGCAGAUCCUGUACAACUACAAAAUAGACUGUAUGAAAUUUUACAGUUAUGUGUUGAAGAACAAAGACAUGAUCAAGAAGGCUAGAAGUAGUGAAAAAUACUCUUCAAGGUCAAUCAACCCCAUCUACAAGCAUUGUGCAGUAACAAUUCAUAAUUAAAUAAUGUCCUCCAGCGGACGACGGCAUGGAACGAUUCGCCUGCCCCACUCCUGAUCGGCAGGGUAGAUACCACUGUAUAGAUGACCACGUCCUCUGUGACGGAUUCAUAGACUGUCCUUCGGCAGAGGAUGAGGACAGACAAGCCUGUAUGUUUUAUAAAACGACAAAAGCGCACCUGGAUGUAUUAGCUGAUGCGCUACUUCGGUGGGCCCGCGGGCGCUAAUUUCUCGACGAUUCUCGAGGCGAUCAAGGGAGUGUCCAAAGUCAGGUCCGCCCGCCCCCAUGACCGUCAUAAUUUGUCCCUCCGCCCACUGAUUAGCGUAUACUUCAGAGAGCAAAAAGACUUUGCUGGCAGCAGUUACCGUAGCAGACCUAGUAGAUGUACCAUUCUUCGAUUUCCUCUUCAAUUUGACCCGAUUCCAACUGUUCAGGACUGCCGCUGGCGUGUAGAUCAUUCCCAAUAAGCAUUCCGAGUUGAAAACAAAAGUCUAUAGUCUAGAGAAACUCCUGAGGAAGAAGGCCUCAUUUCGAAUUGUUUGUUUUUGAUUCAAUACAGAACUGGUGCUCUGUAGUGUGGAUCCUUCUCCAAAACGAUUUCUUCGACAGUAGUUAGACAACAAUCAGAUCGUGAAAUAGACCUGUUUCAAGAAUAUUGUUUCUGACUACUUUUCCAUUCAACCUAAUUGUAAUAUCAACUAGAAAUAUUUGUUAUCUCACAUUUGUUAUAUUAUAUGGAUGUUAAUAUUGUUACAUAAUGUUUUAAAUUAAGGCUGGUAAGAUUCAAUUUGACUUGCUUGUGAUCAGAUGUUUUGAGCAGGUAUCCAAUUUUCUCAAAUUUCAAACUGCACCUUAUUAGUCAAUACAUACAAAAAGAAAAAAGUAAAAAAAUAAUUGAUGUUGCAUUGUCUAAAAAUGAAAUGCUUUCGAUGUAUAUUUAUAAUGCACUUCGUCAAAAAUAUGGAAUUUGACAAAUUUGGAAUAGUUGUUGAUACUGAGACUAAGCUCAAAGGAGGCUGGACCAUGGUCUGAAAUUAUUAGAGAAAAGAUAUCGCUAUGAUUUAGAGAGGAUGGAAUUUUCGACUUUUGUCAAUUUCUGGUUCCGAUAAUGAUGAUUUUUCAUCCUGAGCCACCGGACCCUUCUGUUGACAUAUAUGCGGUUUGCUACAGUUUCAAACAAUGGUUAUUUUGAGAGUUUCACUUAUCAUCAACAACGUUGUUCUUGAAAUGUGAAUGUUUUUCUUUUCGUCAUUUGAAUUUUAAAUAUGACGUGACCCUUGCAUCAGUAUGCUCAGUGGGAACUGCGAAAAGAGAUAUAUUACUACUCUAAAUCAUCUUCUCCAUAGCGAAAUUGGUUGCAUUUUUUAAAUUUCAAUGGGAAAUGAAAACACAUUCAUUAGAGACUGUGCGAGUCAGAGAUGAAUCCUAGGAUAUUGUUUUAUAUGUGGUAUUAGAAUUUUGUUUCAGCCCUAUACAGAUGACUGAUUCGUAAUGUUCGAAGUUCCUCAUUGAUUAGUAUACUAUUUUAAUAGUUUUUCUUGUCUCAGAAGAAUCGAAACCACCGGCCUACUUUAUAAUUCAGCCAACCACAGCACAAAAACAUAUAGUUGAAAGAAAUUACCACAUCACCUACAGUAGCGAAACAUUUCCAAAUUCUUUAUCAUUCGUGUAAAUGGCAGGAUGAUAUAGGAGAGUUGGGAAUCGAUUUGAAUUAGGUAUAAAUUUCCAUGUCUGUUGACCUCAUUUCCUAGAAGCUUCCGAUCCUGUCUGAAAACAAGGAAUGGGGCCAGAAGUGACUGGCCCCGAGUAAUAUUAAUUUAUUUCCUUUCAAGAAGAUUUUGAAGUUUGAGUUGUUAUUCACUUACGGAUACUUUCAAUUCUGGGUGUGAUUUAAAUGUAAGCCUAACUCUUAAGUAAGCAGAUUAGGUAUGCAUUGAGAGGAUACUCUCAUUUCGAAUUGUUAUACUUGUGUGAAUAACCGUAACAACAAAAACCGAAAUAUUUUUUGAAAUAUGCAUAAGUCAGCACUGCACCGGAAAGGUUCGAAAAUAUAGAUAAUAAAUAUAAUGAGAAUUUGAAAAUUUUAUUUUUUCACGGAUUCCUCGAUGACGCUUACACCUACCUCAAUAUUUGGACAUAAAAAUGGAUUCCACUGUAAUUUCAAACAAGAAUGUCUAUAUUUUCAUUUAAAAAAAUUGAAAAAGGUUGGUAAUACAUAUUUGCAUAAACAAAUAUUUUGGGGAAAACUGACGUUAACGAGCAGUAAAGUAUUAAUUACAUGGUUUCUCAUGGUUCAACUUUCAGACCAUGAAAUUCAUUUUCGAGUCGAAAUAGUGAAAUUAGAUACUUAGUAAACUUCAAGACUCAAGAGACUCUCGAAUGGCAAGGACUAUCAAUAGUCAUCUCUGGAAAAUCAGUAAAAGUGUAAUAUCUUUCAACUAUUGAGAUGAGAAAAAUCUGCUCUAUCUGAAUAAACUGAAUUGAAUGAAAUCAGGCUUGAGUUUAUUAUUCUCAGGGUCAGUAGGGGAUGAACUCUAGAAUUCCCUUAUUAUUUUUCCAAAGCUUGCUAGAAUGAAGUUUGGAAUCAAUUAGAUUAUACCCAUGAAUGUUAUGACUUCUCCAGAGCUAAAUAUUUGUUCCUGACUCCUGAUAACUUUAACGAAGCACACUGCACUUGCACUACUUGCACCAAGAUCUCUCAAUUAUUUAUGGAAAAGACAAAAUUUCUAUUGAAGUAACGUAGGUUAUUCUCAGUCGAGUUUUCAAUGUGAUAUAUAAAAUUAAACUUCUGCCAUACAGGGCUAGAGUGUUUUUCUUUCGUCUCUUCACACGGCGCUGGGUAGACUCCUUAAAUCAACAACCAGUGACAUGAGGUAAUGUUCUAGUCAAUUCUAGUCAAUAUUUCAAGCGAUUUUUCCAAAUGAAUUGAACCGAAGUAAUAACGUGAAUAUCAAAGUGUAACUUAUGCAAUAAAGCCGUAAUGUGAUUCGGAAAGAUACUCCUGGUUCCUGAGAAAAGAGACACAAUCACCAGCUGCAAAAUAACGGACCAGGCCUACUUUCCGCGCACACUUUUAUAUAUUAUUUUUUAGUGUAUAGGAUUGUUUCAGAGUUCCUCAAUCACAUGUUGUUUUCGAGGAACUCCAAAACGCACAGUUCUUAAGGAGUCAAUCUCAAAAGCAAACCUGCACUCUACUGAAAGUAAAAAUAAUGUGAAAAAUAUAUUCUAAUAAUCUAUAAAUAUAAAUAUAUUUAUUUUCUACGUGUUUAGUUCUAAUGAUGAUAAUUGUUCAUAUAAAUGUUUACAAAAACAAUGCACUGAUAUUAUCUCUGAAUUCUAGUAUUUUCAUUAUUAAUGUCAUAUUGCACCAACGCACAAACAACGGAAACUUUUCGAAAAAUAUCUUUGAGAAACUUUGAACUAGAUAGUAUUUCUAACUUAAGUUCAUAGAUGAAGACCGCUCUUCAUUUUUAUAUUCACUGAUAGUUUGAGAGACACCAGACGUGUUGAGUUUUUUUAUUUCGAUCCAAAAACUCCCAUGAAAUGAAAAAAAAUCAGAAUUGAUGUAACUUUAUGAGGAAAACUGAAAAAUGUUUCGGUUAACAAAGAUAUUUCCACUCCAACCUAACCGAAAUUACUUUUUGAAAAAAUGGUUCUCUUUGUUUUGAUCAGAAAUUAACCAAUUUUUUCGGCCAACAAGAUUAUUUUUCGGGAAAUUUCCGUUUCCAAGCACACUAGUUAGAAUCAAUGUCACCGCCAAAAUCCCCAACUCCCAUUCCAGAAUCCUGGUUUCGCCGUUAAUCCAAACCAAUGACACACUUUCAAAGAUGCAAAUCAUCGUGGCAAACAUGGAUAAAUAGUUGUACCCUGACGGCCUAAAUAUUUUUAUAACUAGAUUUGUUGACUGAUCAAUAAGCUUGUUAAUAGUUUAUCAGAUAUUGGCUCGUCUAUAGAUGUUGCUUGAUUUGCAUCUUUC